rnacentral:rRNA from 1 species
GACGUAGGUGGCGAACGUUAUCCGGAAUUAUUGGGCGUAAAGGGUGCGUAGAUGGCUUGACAAGUUAGUGGUGGGAAAUCGAGGCUCAACCUCGUGGAAGUCACUAAUACUAUCAAACUAGAGUGCAGGAGAGGUUAAUGGAACUCCAUGUGUAGCGGUAAAAUGCGACGAUAUAUGGAUGAACACCAAUAAAGGCGAAGGCAGUUAACUAUUCUG